GUUAAAGUCCAUUUCUGUUGAGAUAAUAGUUUUAUAAUAAAUGGUGAAAAGAUGUAUUCUAAAACUCAAAUAAGUACUCGUUAGCAGUAAUUCAAUGUUUCAACACUCUUAAUUCUGUACGAAUGCUUUCGGCGGUUGUCACCCGCCAUCAUCAGGUACUAACUUUCAAUAUAACACUAAUAAAACAAAAUGCAAAACAUAGAAUAAUAAUAUGGAACAUGGAACUUAAGUUGCCAUGGUUACCAGCAAACACAAUGGUAUUCACAUACGUAAGACUUCAGGGUACGGAACUAAUAUGCUUACAGGUAAUUCUAUAUACUGAAUACAUACGUAUACAAAUACUUGCUUAAAAUAAAUAGAUGAAUGUACAGUUCGUUUCAGAAAGUUUGUCACCUCCUUCGCAGGGGCUGAGCUUACCGGAAGUUGAUCGGUUAUAAAGUCUUUCAGUUCGAACGUGCAUAGUGGAAGCUAAAAAUAGAUGUAUCCUUUCUGACUAAGAAUAGGGGUGAGGUAUACGAAUGAGAUGGGUCAAUUAUAGCACUUUAAACUGAAAAGACUAAUCGCUGCUCACUGUUUCAAGCUAGGCAGACUUUUUAGUUACAAAUUCAGUAAAUAGAUAACACGCUCG
rnacentral:lncRNA from 1 species